rnacentral:rRNA from 1 species
UCAAAGAUUAAGCCAUGCAUGUCUAAGUACAUACCGACAGUAAGGUGAAACCGCAAAUGGCUCAUUAAAUCAGUUGUGGUUCACUGGAUCUUACCCUAUCCUACUUGGAUAACUUUGGUAAUUCUAAAGCUAAUACAUGCCGCCUGUAGCUCCGAAACGCCCGAGGGCGUGAAAGAGCGCUUUUAUUAGAUCAAAACCGACCCUCCUUCGGGAGGUCAUUACCAUUCUGUGGUGACUCUGAGUAACUUUUAGCUGAGCGCACGGCCUACGUGCCGGCGCCGCAUCUUUCAAGUGUCUGCCUUAUCAGCUUUCGAUUGUAGGUUAUGCGCCUACAAUGGCUAUAACGGGUAACGGGAAUC